rnacentral:rRNA from 1 species
UGCAGUCGACGAGACCUUCGGGUCUAGUGGCGCACGGGUGCGUAACGCGUGGGAACCUGCCUUUAGGUUCGGAAUAACUCAGAGAAAUUUGAGCUAAUACCGGAUAAUGUCUUCGGACCAAAGAUUUAUCGCCUUUAGAUGGGCCCGCGUUGGAUUAGCUAGUUGGUGGGGUAAAGGCCUACCAAGGCGACGAUCCAUAGCUGGUCUGAGAGGAUGAUCAGCCACACUGGGACUGAGACACGGCCCAGACUCCUACGGGAGGCAGCAGUGGGGAAUAUUGGACAAUGGGCGAAAGCCUGAUCCAGCAAUGCCGCGUGAGUGAUGAAGGCCUUAGGGUUGUAAAGCUCUUUUACCAGGGAUGAUAAUGACAGUACCUGGAGAAUAAGCUCCGGCUAACUCCGUGCCAGCAGCCGCGGUAAUACGGAGGGAGCUAGCGUUGUUCGGAAUUACUGGGCGUAAAGCGCACGUAGGCGGCUUUUUAAGUCAGGGGUGAAAUCCCGGGGCUCAACCCCGGAACUGCCCUUGAAACUGGGAAGCUAGAAUCUUGGAGAGGCGAGUGGAAUUCCGAGUGUAGAGGUGAAAUUCGUAGAUAUUCGGAAGAACACCAGUGGCGAAGGCGACUCGCUGGACAAG